GAUGAAGAACGUAGCGAAAUGCGAUAAGUAAUGUGAAUUGCAGAAUUCAGUGAAUCAUCGAAUCUUUGAACGCACAUUGCGCCCCUUGGUAUUCCGAGGGGCAUGCCUGUUCGAGCGUCAUUAUAACCCCUCAAGCUCAGCUUGGUGUUGGGGGCUGCUGCACUGGCAGCCCUUAAAAUCAGUGGCGGCGCCAUCUGGCUCUAAGCGUAGUAAUUCUUCUCGCUAUGGAGUCCUGGUGGAUGCUUGCCAUCAACCCCCAAUUUUUCUAUGGUUGACCUCGGAUCAGGUAGGGAUACCCGCUGAACUUAAGCAUAUCAAUAAGCGGAGGA
rnacentral:misc_RNA from 1 species